rnacentral:SRP_RNA from 1 species
UGUUCGUCCCUCGCGACGAUAGGUUGGGAAUCCCGCCAGGCCCGGAAGGGAGCAACGGUACCAGCUGAUUCGUGCGCCGAGAUCCGGCGGGCGGGG